GAUGAACGCUGGCGGCGUGCCUAAUACAUGCAAGUCGAGCGAACAGAUAAGGAGCUUGCUCCUUUGACGUUAGCGGCGGACGGGUGAGUAACACGUGGGUAACCUACCUAUAAGACUGGAAUAACUCCGGGAAACCGGGGCUAAUGCCGGAUAACAUUUAGAACCGCAUGGUUCUAAAGUGAAAGAUGGUUUUGCUAUCACUUAUAGAUGGACCCGCGCCGUAUUAGCUAGUUGGUAAGGUAUCGGCUUACCAAGGCAACGAUACGUAGCCGACCUGAGAGGGUGAUCGGCCACACUGGAACUGAGACACGGUCCAGACUCCUACGGGAGGCAGCAGUAGGGAAUCUUCCGCAAAGGGCGAAAGCCUGACGGAGCAACGCCGCGUGAGUGAUGAAGGUCUUCGGAUCGUAAAACUCUGUUAUUAGGGAAGAACAAAUGUGUAAGUAACUGUGCACGUCUUGACGGUACCUAAUCAGAAAGCCACGGCUAACUACGUG
rnacentral:rRNA from 1 species